CUCCACAUGUCUGCUGCUGCAAACGCUGGGAACAUGGCGUCGGCCCUCGGUCGCCUGGUCCGGCUGUCAGCUCGCUGCUCGCCGCUGACACCUUGCAGGAAGACGGCGACACCGAGCCGGACAGCGGUGACCACGUCCUCCGGUGCCAUCCUGCCCAAACCCAAGAAGCCUCGUUCUUCUAUUGUUGUUCUUUUUGGACUGUUUACUGACAGACAUGGAUCCUGAAGCUGGUGGACUACACACCACCAAGGAAAUACACUGGAGAGCUUAUGGGGUGGAGUAUCUAUAUGAACAGACAGGCAGGGCGCUGGAAGACUACAAGUGCACACUGGAUGCCAUGGAGACAGACACCAGCGUGGCUGAGGAUGAUUUGCUGGAGCCAGAGGAGUUUGAGGACGUCACUGUCCCCUUGCUGGAUGCUCCUUCACUCACUGGUACAUCUGCUACAGCACCUCUACUCACUACAGGCAAGUCUACCGCUCCUGCGUCCCCUUCUGGUCGUGCUUGCCCAGGCGAUUCCUCUGCUGGGGCCUCUCCACUUACCACAGACACAUCUGCUACUGUGUCUGCAUCUGACCCAAUGUGUUUCGUCAGGUCCCAAGGACAGCCAGAGCCGUUCAACUCAGGUCAUCCAAGAAAACUCUACAAGUCCAGAUGCCUUGCUUCAAUCAUCUCUAUGAAUAUGACCUGGAUGACUGAGACUCUUCAUCAGCAUACACCAGUGUGUUGUCAACAAAGCCUGUGUGAUGGCUGAGACCACCAUCCAGCUGCCUGAGGUGAACACAGCAAUGCUGGCAUGACGGUGAGUAAAUCAUGAAGUAUGUGUACCAUGUCAGCUGUUUUGUUCUGUUCUGUUCUGUUGUUGUUGUUUUUUUCAGGUACAACAAUCAGAGUCGGGCUCGGGAGACCGAGGUGCUUCAGCAGGCCAUUGAGUCUCCAAAGGCUUCAAUUGCAGCAGCCAUCCACACCUCAGAGAGAAGCUCUCUUGACCAUGGCUGCAGGAGACAACCUGCACAGCUUUACCCUGCCAGCCAAUACAGCAGGCAUGGCCAGGUUCAAAAGGCAGCUGGUGUUUGGGGGGAGACAGACCCCCCAUCUCUUCUCUGAAUCUUGAGGCCAGCCUGGCAUCUGCUUCACUGCAGCAUCCUGCCACCAGCGCAGCAUCUUUACUGCAGUGUAUAUGAGUGUGUAUGUAGUGUAAACACAUUCUUUUGGUAUCAGUUUCCCCCUGUACAGGUUCAUAGCAUGAUAGUAGAUUGAACAACAGGUCUGCCAGACAGCAUAGUUUGACCUCUGGAAUGUGUGGAUUCUUAAAACUGUGAAUCUGCCUUUAUCACAAUUAAAUGAGGCUAUAAACAUUACAAAAGCCUUUGUUCAGUUUUUACAGGAUUUGUAAAUACAAUCUGAUUUCAGUGUUUGUAAAUACCAUUUAAUUCCAUAAAAUACUAAAAAAAGAUGUUUAUCCAAAUAUGAAUUUAGACUAAUAUUAAGAGGCUUUAUGAGCAGUAAAGACUGCAAAUAAACUCCUACUGGUCCUUUACA
rnacentral:lncRNA from 1 species